rnacentral:lncRNA from 1 species
GCCGGAAGCAGGCAUUCUGAUUCUCACAGGAUGCAUCAGUGGUGCAGUGCAGCUCCUAUGACACUGGCUUCACAGCAAAGACAUCCAAGUUCAUAAAACUGCGCCUCGAACGUAUGAGUCUGAUGCUAUUAACUGUUAGCAAAGCAGGAGAGCACAGAGAACCAACUUGUGACACAGCAUGCAAUUUUCUAAGGAAUGAAAGGAGAAAAAUUAGAAAUUCAGGGACAAGGGGCCUGAGGAAGGAGCA